UGUUGAGGAAAUUCCACACCACCACGUGGGAAGGGACCAGGAGAAGGAGCAUCAGCAGGUUGCGGAACAUACGGGCCAUGGACAAAGAGGAGUAGAGCUCGACAGCGGCUAUCAUGCCCAGCAGGGUCUCGAUGUUGACCAGAGGAGGAACGUAUCGCUGUUUGUCCGGGUUGAAGUUGUUGAAGAGAUACUCAUCUUGGUGCAACACCAACAGGAGCGACGAUAACAGCACGA
rnacentral:ribozyme from 16 species